GACGAACGCUGGCGGCAUGCCUUACACAUGCAAGUCGAACGGUAACAGGUCUUCGGAUGCUGACGAGUGGCGAACGGGUGAGUAAUACAUCGGAACGUGCCUAGUAGUGGGGGAUAACUACUCGAAAGAGUGGCUAAUACCGCAUGAGAUCUACGGAUGAAAGCAGGGGAUCGCAAGACCUUGUGCUACUAGAGCGGCCGAUGGCAGAUUAGGUAGUUGGUGGGAUAAAAGCUUACCAAGCCGACGAUCUGUAGCUGGUCUGAGAGGACGAUCAGCCACACUGGGACUGAGACACGGCCCAGACUCCUACGGGAGGCAGCAGUGGGUAAUUUUGGACAAUGGGCGCAAGCCUGAUCCAGCAAUGCCGCGUGCAGGAUGAAGGCCUUCGGGUUGUAAACUGCUUUUGUACGGAACGAAAAGCCCUGGGUUAAUACCCUGGGGUCAUGACGGUGCCGUAAGAAUAAGCACCGGCUAACUACGUGCCAGCAGCCGCGGUAACAC
rnacentral:rRNA from 1 species